UCCUUCCCCACACCGAUCCCCCACCUCGCGAACGUUUCCUUCUUCGCCAAAUUCCUAAAUCCCAAGCCCGUGCCCUAGCUCUCUGCUCCGAACCUCUCCUCUUCCUCCCGAUACCUCACCCCCGCGACACCUCCAACUCCCUCCUUCUUCCCUCUCCCUCGCCCGAGCACUGCACAACCAUCGAGCCACAAGCCGUCGGAUCUCGCUACCUCACGCGAGCACCACAAUCGCCGGAAGGAAGGAUCACCACCAGCCUCGCGUCUCUGCCUCGAUUCAAAUCAUUUUCCCUUCCUUCUCAGCACUGAUCCAUCGCCACUCCCUCUGUCAUCUUCAUCUCUGUUGCAGUCGACCCUGCCUAGUACCACCGUCGCCGAUAGGAAGGAUCAAAGCCAAGCCCUUUGUUAUAGUCAUUUCGGUGUUGUUGUUGCUUCUAGCCGGUGACACCAUCUUCUUUUCCCUUGCGGCGCUGCUGGAUGUGUGCGGUUGGGAGUCCAUCGCCAGAGAGGGGCAGCUAGGGAGCAGCUGAUCGAGGGUACUGAUUUGGAAAUUAGCAACGCUAUUUGGCUACGUUUGGUUGCGACAACAAGUUCUCCGGCUGAAUUGACGACGAAGUCUUUGUAUUUGGGACUUGGAUUUGAGACGGGUGUCUCGACGUAGGAUUUCUAGAUACGAUCUACGUAUAAAGGUAGCAGGUAGAUGAGUCAUGGAUGUUUGGAGAGUCCCGGUUGUCAGUGCCACGUCACACUCGAGGAUAGUCUUCUUUUUGGUUUUGUUACUAAUUAGGUGGUAUGUUGAUUUUGCGUAUUUUGUUUUCCAAUAAGUCGAUGUGGAUUUUGGAGUCUAGUCUGGUGGUUGCAGGUAUUUUAGUUAGUGACUUUGUUGGUUUUACAUUCUUAUUAUUUUAUGAUUUUCCACUGCAUUUACUUUCAGCCGUGUGGUUUGUCAUUAUACUGCGUAGUUGUGUGUUUACUUUAAGCCGUGUGGGCUGUUAUUAUACUGCGUGGUUGUGUAUUUACUUUUA